rnacentral:rRNA from 1 species
UACGUAGGGUGCAAGCGUUGUCCGGAAUAUUGGGCGUAAAGAGCUCGUAGGCGGUCUGUCGCGUCGGCUGUGAAAACCCGGGGCUCAACCCCGGGCCUGCAGUCGAUACGGGCAGACUAGAGUGCGGUAGGGGGAUGCGGAAUUCCGGGUGUAGUGGUGGAAUGCGUAGAGAUCCGGAGGAACACCAGCGGCGAAGGCGGCAUCCUGGACUGGUCCUGACACUCAGGAGCGAAAGCGUCGGGGAGCGAUCCGG